rnacentral:rRNA from 1 species
UUGCUCUUCAACGAGGAAUGCCUAGUAAGCGCAUGUCAUCAGCAUGCGUUGAUUACGUCCCUGCCCUUUGUACACACCGCCCGUCGCUACUACCGAUUGAAUGGCUCAGUGAGGCCUCCGGACUGGCUCGAAGAGGUUGGCAACGACCACUUCGAGCCGGAAAGCUGGUCAAACUCGGUCAUUUAGAGGAAGUAAAAGUCGUAACAAGGUUUCCGUAGGUGAACCUGCGGAAGGAUCAUUACCKAGAGUUUGUAGRCUUCGGUCUGCYAYCUCUUACCCAUGUCUUUUGMGUACNUUNCGUUUCCUCGGCRGGUCCGCCYGCCGNUWGGACAANNUUMNAAACCMUUUGCAGUUGCARUCAGCGUCUGAAAAANCAUAAUARUUACAACUUUYAACAACGGAUCUCUUGGUUCUGGCAUCGAUGAAGAACGCAGCGAAAUGCGAUAAGUAGUGUGAAUUGCAGAAUUCAGUGAAUCAUCGAAUCUUUGAACGCACAUUGCGCCCCUUGGUAUUCCAUGGGGCAUGCCUGUUCGAGCGUCAUUUGUACCUUCAAGCUCUGCUUGGUGUUGGGUGUUUGUCCCGCCUUUGUGCGCGGACUCGCCUUAAAGCAAUUGGCAGCCGGCGUAUAGAUUUCGGAGCGCAGCACAAUCCGCGCUUUGUACUCAUUACGACGACAUCCAUCAAGACAUUUUUUAACUCUUGACCUCGGAUCAGGUAGGGAUACCCGCUGAACUUAAGCAUAUCAAUAAGCGGAGGA